CAAUGCAGUCGAACGAACUCUGGUAUUGAUUGGUGCUUGCUCAUGAUUUACAUUUGAGUGAGUGGCGAACUGGUGAGUAACACGUGGGAAACCUGCCCGGAAGCGGGGGAUAACACCUGGAAACAGAUGCUAAUACCGCAUAACAACUUGGACCGCAUGGCCCGAGUUUGAAAGAUGGCUUCAGCUAUCACUUUUGGAUGGUCCCGCGGCGUAUUAGCUAGAUGGUGGGGUAACGGCUCACCAUGGCAAUGAUACGUAGCCGACCUGAGAGGGUAAUCGGCCACAUUGGGACUGAGACACGGACCAAACUCCUACGGGAGGCAGCAUUAUGGAAUCUUCCACAAUGGACGAAAGUCUGAUGGAGCAACGCCGCGUGAGUGAAGAAGGGUUUCGGCUCGUAAAACUCUGUUGUUAAAGAAUAACAUAUCUGACAGUAACUGUUCAGGUAUUGACGGUAUUUAACCAGAAAGCCACGGCUAACUACGUGCCAGCAGCCGCGGUAAUACGUAGGUGGCAAGCGUUGUCCGGAUUUAUUGGGCGUAAAGCGAGCGCAGGCGGUUUUUUAAGUCUGAUGUGAAAGCCUUCGGCUCAACCGAAGAAGUGCAUCGGAAACUGGGAAACUUGAGUGCAGAAGAGGACAGUGGAACUCCAUGUGUAGCGGUGAAAUGCGUAGAUAUAUGGAAGAACACCAGUGGCGAAGGCGGCUGUCUGGUCUGUAACUGACGCUGAGGCUCGAAAGUAUGGGUAGCAAACAGGAUUAGAUACCCUGGUAGUCCAUACCGUAAACGAUGAAUGCUAAGUGUUGGAGGGUUUCCGCCCUUCACUGCUGCAGCUA
rnacentral:rRNA from 1 species